rnacentral:rRNA from 1 species
AUUGAACGCUGGCGGCAUGCCUUACACAUGCAAGUCGAACGGCAGCAUGGAGAGCUUGCUCUCUGAUGGCGAGUGGCGAACGGGUGAGUAAUGCAUCGGAACGUACCGUGUAAUGGGGGAUAACGUAGCGAAAGUUACGCUAAUACCGCAUACGACCUGAGGGUGAAAGCAGGGGAUCGCAAGACCUUGCGUUAUACGAGCGGCCGAUGUCAGAUUAGCUAGUUGGUGAGGUAAAGGCUCACCAAGGUGACGAUCUGUAGCGGGUCUGGGAGGAUGAUCCGCCACGCUGGGACUGAGACACGGCCCAGACUCCUACGGGAGGCAGCAGUGGGGAAUUUUGGACAAUGGGGGCAACCCUGAUCCAGCCAUGCCGCGUGAGUGAAGAAGGCCUUCGGGUUGUAAAGCUCUUUCGGCCGGGAAGAAAUCGCACAGGCUAAUACUCUGUGUGGAUGACGGUACCGGCAUAAGAAGCACCGGCUAACUACGUGCCAGCAGCCGCAGUAA